rnacentral:rRNA from 1 species
CAGCAGCCCGGUAAUACGGAGGGUGCAAGCGUUGUUCGGAAUUACUGGGCGUAAAGGGCGCGUAGGUGGUUGCGUCAGUCGGAUGUGAAAUCCCCGGGCUUAACCCGGGAACUGCAUCCGAUACUGCGUGACUCGAGUGCAGCAGAGGGAAACGGAAUUCCUGGUGUAGAGGUGAAAUUCGUAGAUAUCAGGAGGAACACCGGUGGCGAAGGCGGUUUCCUGGGCUGACACUGACACUGAGGCGCGAAAGCGUGGGUAGCAAACAGGAUUAGAUACCCUGGUAGUCCACGCUGUAAACGGUGAGUGCUGGGUGUGGGAGGUGUAAUGCCUUCUGUGCCGAAGCUAACGCGUUAAGCACUCCGCCUGGGGAGUACGGCCGCAAGGUUGAAACUCAAAGGAAUUGACGG